rnacentral:rRNA from 1 species
GACGAACCUUGCUAACGUUAUUCGGAAUUACUGGGCUUAAAGGGUGCGUAGGCGGCGCGGUAAGUCGGGUGUGAAAUCUUGGAGCUUAACUCCGAAACUGCAUUCGAUACUGCCGUGCUUGAGGACUGGAGAGGAGACUGGAAUUUACGGUGUAGCGGUGAAAUGCGUAGAUAUCGUAAGGAAGACCAGUGGCGAAGGCGGGUCUCUGGACAGUUCCUGACGCUGAGGCACGAAGGCCAGGGGAGCAAACGGG